rnacentral:misc_RNA from 1 species
UCUCUCUCUCUCUCUCUCUCAGGUUUCUCGCAAAUUCUUUAUGCGGUAACUCAUUGUGGAAUUGUUAGUUAUAGUGGGUGUACGGCUUCUCUGGCUCUCUCUCUAUCUUCUGUGUCGUGUCCCUGUGUGUGUGGGGGCGGGGGUGUUGUGGGCGUUUGAGAGGAGGAGCAGAGAUGAGCUUGGCGUGGAGGUAAAGAGGUACCUCUCCAUCACAGGGUUGCCUCGGCAAUCGCCACCGGCUUAGGAAAAACGAACUUCAAGGUCAGGUUGUUUUGGUGUUUUCUCAAAUGGGUUGAUUCCAGAUUUUGAGAUUUUGCGUCCAUCUCUGUCUCCUUGUGUUUCUCUCUAGAUAACGUAGGGAGAGACGCACAGAGUGAAAGGAGAAAGAUACAAACCAAGCUCAAAACAAUUCUUCUCUGUCUUUUAUCUCUCUCCCUCUCUCGGUUUCUUUGUCUCUUCGUGUACCGUGUUGAUAAAAUAAUCCGUUUGUUUCCAUGUGCAAUGUGUCUGCAGAUUCUAUCUCCAAAGAGCUAUAGUCUCCUUUGAUUAUCCAGAUGGUGAAAUGCCCUUCUCUACACGAUUCGAUCUCUCUUACUCAUUUUGCUGCUUAUUAUUAACUAGUCUAACACCACAAUCACCGCCAUCGACUCGCUCAUCUCAAUCACCAACUUACCAUUGUCGAUAAUGGGUAUCACCUUCUUGAUUAAUGACACCGUCACGCAAUCGACACACUCCGUUUUGAAGGCAAUUCAGGGCCUGCCCGUAUUUGAACUAGCCUCAAUUUGCAUCAAUUUGACGCUUUUCCUCGUCUUUCUCUUCAUAAUAUCUGCGAGGCAAAUAUUGGUGUGUGUUAGUAGAAUUAGAUUGCUGAAGGAUGAUACACCAGUUGCCAGUUCAAGCCCAAUUCGACGAAGUACUGCUGAUGGAGAGAUUCGAGUUGUUACAGUCAGUACCGGGUUUAAGUUGGUCCUACUUUGUUGUUUCUAUGUUUUGUUUUUGCAAUUUUUGGCGUUGGGGUUUGAUGGUGUUGCUUUGAUUAGAGAGGCUGUCAAUGGGAAAGUUGUGGAUUGGUCUAUAAUUGCUUUCCCUGCUGCGCAAGGUUUAGCUUGGUUUGUGUUGAGCUUUUCAGCUCUUCAUUGUAAAUUUAAGGCGUCUGAGAAAUUCCCACUGUUGUUGAGGGUUUGGUGGUUUUUCUCAUUUUUUAUGUGUUUGUGUACUUUGUAUGUGGAUGGGAAGAGUUUUCUGAUUGAAGGUGUGAAGCAUUUGAGUUCUCAUGUUAUGGUGAAUUUUGCUACAACUCCAGCUCUUGCUUUUCUAUGUUUUGUGGCAAUUAGAGGCAUUACUGGAAUACAAGUUUGUAGGAAUUCUGAUCUUCAAGAGCCACUGCUUCUUGAAGAAGAAUCAGGGUGUCUCAAGGUUACUCCUUAUAGUAAUGCUGGAUUGUUUAGCUUGGCUACUCUUUCAUGGUUAAACCCACUUCUGUCUAUUGGUGCAAAGAGACCGCUUGAGCUUAAGGACAUUCCCCUUCUUGCUCCAAAAGAUCGAGCUAAGUCCAAUUAUAAGGUUUUGAAUUUGAAUUGGGAGAAAUUGAAGGCAGAAAAUCCUUCAAAGCAGCCUUCUUUAGCUUGGGCAAUUCUCAAUUCAUUCUGGAAGGACGCGGCUUGCAAUGCCAUAUUUGCCUUGGUAAAUACACUUGUUUCAUAUGUAGGUCCGUAUAUGAUUAGCUACUUUGUUGAAUAUUUAGGGGGGAAGGAGACUUUCCCUCAUGAAGGAUAUAUUCUUGCUGGGAUAUUCUUCUCGGCAAAGCUUGUGGAGACCUUAACAACCCGGCAAUGGUAUCUUGGUGUUGAUAUUUUGGGUAUGCAUGUGAGGUCGGCUCUGACAGCAAUGGUGUACCAUAAGGGACUCAGGCUCUCAAGCUUGGCCAAGCAAAGUCACACUAGUGGAGAAAUUGUUAAUUACAUGGCAGUUGAUGUCCAGAGAGUGGGGGACUACUCUUGGUAUCUCCAUGACAUAUGGAUGCUUCCCUUGCAAAUAAUUCUUGCACUUGCAAUUUUGUAUAAGAAUGUUGGAAUUGCUUCUAUUGCAACUUUAAUUUCCACUAUCAUAUCCAUCAUUGUUACUGUGCCCUUGGCUAAGAUACAAGAAGAUUAUCAAGACAAAUUAAUGGCUGCGAAGGAUGACAGGAUGAGGAAAACUUCUGAGUGUCUAAGGAAUAUGAGGAUUCUGAAGCUGCAAGCUUGGGAGGACAGGUAUCGAGUGAAGUUGGAGGAGAUGCGGGAUGUGGAGUUCAGGUGGCUCCGUAAGGCCCUCUACUCACAAGCUUUUAUUACAUUCAUUUUCUGGAGUUCUCCCAUAUUUGUUGCAGUUGUUACUUUUGGUACUUCAAUAUUGUUGGGUGGUCAGCUCACUGCUGGAGGUGUUCUUUCUGCUCUGGCCACCUUCAGAAUCCUACAAGAACCACUUAGGAAUUUCCCUGACUUAGUGUCAAUGAUGGCCCAGACAAAAGUUUCCCUUGAUCGAAUUUCUGGAUUCCUACAGGAAGAAGAGUUGCAGGCAGAUGCAACCCUUGUUUUGCCACGAGGUAUGACAAACAUGGCCAUAGAAGUUAAUGAUGGUGAGUUCUGUUGGGACCCUUCUUCUUCUUCGAGGACCACUUUAUCAGGCAUUCAUGUGAAGGUGCAGAGAGGGAUGCGUGUAGCUGUUUGUGGCAUGGUUGGCUCAGGAAAAUCAAGCUUUCUCUCUUGCAUCCUUGGAGAGAUUCCCAAAAUCUCUGGUGAAGUAAGAGUUUGUGGUACUGCUGCUUAUGUUUCCCAGUCAGCAUGGAUACAAUCUGGAAAUAUUGAAGAAAAUAUUCUUUUUGGCAGCCCAAUGGAUAAAGCAAAGUACAAAAACGCUAUCCAUGCUUGUUCACUGAAAAAAGAUUUGGAACUUUUUUCACAUGGCGAUCAGACCAUCAUUGGUGAUAGAGGUAUAAAUUUGAGUGGUGGCCAGAAGCAGCGGGUACAGCUUGCAAGGGCACUAUAUCAAGAUGCAGAUAUUUAUUUACUUGAUGAUCCCUUUAGUGCUGUUGAUGCACACACAGGUUCUGAGUUGUUCAAGGAAUACAUAUUAACAGCACUAGCAACUAAGACAGUUAUUUUUGUAACCCAUCAAGUUGAAUUUUUGCCAGCGGCUGAUCUAAUACUGGUUCUCAAGGAAGGGCGCAUUAUACAGGCGGGGAAAUAUGAUGAUCUUCUGCAAGCAGGAACUGAUUUUAGAACUUUGGUCUCAGCUCACCAUGAAGCAAUUGUAGCUAUGGAUAUCCCAUCUCACUCAUCUGAUGAUUCAGACGAGAGUUUGUCUUUGGAUGGGUCUGUCAUAUUUAAUAAAAAAUGUGAUGCAACUGGAAGUAAUGUUGAUAUUUUGGCAAAGGAAGUGCAAGAAAGUGCAUCACCAUCAGAUCAGAAAGCUAUUAAAGAGAAAAAGAAAGCAAAACGCUCAAGGAAAAAGCAGCUUGUUCAGGAAGAGGAAAGGGUGAGAGGGAGAGUCAGUAUGAAGGUUUACUUGUCAUACAUGGCUGCAGCAUAUAAGGGCUUAUUAAUUCCACUAAUUAUCCUUGCACAAGCAUUAUUUCAAUUUCUACAAAUAGCUAGUAAUUGGUGGAUGGCUUGGGCAAAUCCCCAAACUGAAGGAGGCCAACCUAGGGUGAGUCCUAUGGUCCUUCUUGGUGUUUAUAUGGCCCUUGCUUUUGGGAGUUCAUGGUUUAUAUUUGUGAGGGCUGUUCUAGUUGCUACAUUUGGCCUGGCAGCUGCACAGAAGUUGUUUUUGAAGAUGCUUAGAAGUGUGUUUCGAGCGCCAAUGUCUUUCUUUGACUCUACUCCAGCUGGACGGGUCUUGAAUCGUGUAUCAAUUGAUCAAAGUGUCGUGGAUCUUGAUAUUCCUUUUAGGCUGGGUGGGUUUGCUUCAACAACAAUACAACUUCUUGGAAUUGUUGGUGUAAUGACCAAGGUUACUUGGCAAGUUUUGCUUCUUGUUGUUCCUAUGGCUGUUGCUUGCUUAUGGAUGCAGAAAUACUACAUGGCUUCAUCAAGGGAACUGGUCCGCAUUGUUAGUAUCCAGAAAUCUCCUAUCAUCCAUCUUUUUGGUGAGUCAAUUGCUGGAGCAGCCACAAUAAGAGGCUUUGGGCAAGAAAAAAGGUUCAUGAAGAGAAAUCUUUAUCUUCUUGACUGCUUUGCUCGUCCAUUCUUCUGCAGUCUUGCUGCUAUUGAAUGGCUGUGCCUACGCAUGGAGUUGCUCUCAACCUUUGUAUUUGCUUUCUGCAUGAUUUUACUUGUUAGCUUUCCUCAUGGAAGUAUUGAUCCAAGCAUGGCAGGCCUUGCAGUGACAUAUGGCCUUAAUUUAAAUGCACGCCUAUCGCGGUGGAUUCUUAGCUUCUGUAAACUAGAAAACAAAAUUAUUUCCAUAGAAAGGAUUUAUCAGUACAGCCAAAUUCCAAGUGAAGCUCCAUCUGUUAUCGAGGGUUUCCGCCCUCCAUCCUCAUGGCCAGAGAAUGGGACAAUUGAUCUGAUUGAUUUGAAGGUAGAAGCUUAGCUUUAUUCCACUAUGCAUGUGUAUUAUCCAGCCUUGAGGAAAUGUGUACUUUCUUUCGUUUUGUUCUGAUUGUUAUGUUGGUUUGUCCACAGAUGAUGUCUGUUGGCAUUCUUGGGCCUUCUGUAACAUUCUUGCUGAUUUACUCUGGAUCAGGUUAAAUGCUAGUUAUAGGAUAUAUCAUGCCAACAUAUGUCAAUAUUCUGGUUUCAAACUUAAAAAAUUAGCACCCACAUUCAGAGUUAUCAAUUUUGUAACAUGGAGUUUGAGAGUCAUGAUGUCUUUGUAGGAAUCAUGCAUCUCUUUCUAUUCUGGAGUUGAUUCAAUUAUCUUUUGACCAUGAGCUUAUUGUGCUUGUUUCCAUGACUGUGUUUGAUUCUCUAGCUUGAGAAGAAAAGUGAACAGGAAAGUUGGAUUUCUGUUAUGUAUAUGCAUAUAUGUAACAAUAUUUUUGGAGAAAAACGAUGGAAGCAAGAUUGCCUGGCUGAUUCUUAAUUGUUGGAAUUGGUUUGAAAAUGCUGACUCUUUCUUUUUCUGAAGGUUCGUUAUGCUGAGAAUCUUCCUACGGUGCUUCAUGGGAUAACAUGCACCUUUCCCGGUGGAAAGAAAAUUGGAAUAGUUGGGCGAACAGGAAGUGGUAAAUCUACAUUGAUCCAAGCACUAUUUCGAUUAAUUGAACCUGCUGAAGGGAGAAUCAUUAUAGACAACAUUGAUAUUUCUAUGAUUGGCCUACAUGAUCUUCGUAGCCGUCUGAGUAUCAUACCCCAGGAUCCAACUUUAUUGGAAGGGACAAUUAGGGGAAAUCUUGAUCCCCUUGAAGAGCAUUCGGAUCAGGAAAUUUGGCAGGUUUUAUCCCGCUUCCUUCCCCCCUCCCUCCUUAUUUAUGUAAUUACAUACAAGUUUACCUGGAUUUUGAAUGUUAAAAAGAAAGUCUUGAUUUUAGUCAUCCUUUGAACAAAAGUUCAUAUAUCUGCAUAUUAAAUUUUUGACCAAUCUAUAAAAUAGCUAAGCAUGUAGUUUGUUAUAAAUGGAUCAUUGCCUUCUGAUAAUUGAGAUGCGAAGGUAAAUAUUUUUUAUAAAUCAAUUACAUAAUCAAUUUUCAAAAAUUUCCAGAUUUAGAUGUUUUAAGUGAUUGCCAGUAUUAGUACAAGUACUUAGUUUCCGCAUGGGAACACUAUAUUGCCAAUUUAUGCCUAAAACAAUUUUUUAUGUAUGAAAUCUUUUCUGAUUAUAUGCUGAGAAUUCAGCUAUUUGUCACAGGCUCUUGACAAGUCUCAGCUUGGGGAGAUAGUCCGUAGGAAAGAUCAAAAGCUUGAUACACCAGGUAUGCAGCUAGCAGAUUGGAAAAUAUGGUAUUAAUGUUUUCUUCUCCCUCAUAAUCCCCAGAGUUUGGGUGGUUUGGAUGGCGUUUUGUUUCUAAUUGAUUAGUUUGUAUUGGAAUGUAUAAUUUGUAGUGGUAGAAAAUGGGGAUAAUUGGAGUGUAGGGCAACGGCAACUGGUUUCCCUUGGCCGGGCUUUGCUCAAGCAGGCAAGAAUACUGGUGCUAGAUGAAGCAACAGCAUCAGUUGAUACAGCUACAGACAAUCUUAUUCAGAAGAUUAUUCGUACGGAGUUUAAGGAUUGCACAGUUUGCACAAUUGCACAUCGCAUUCCAACUGUUAUCGACAGUGAUCUUGUUUUGGUACUCAGUGAUGGUGUGCACUAAUGAUUUCAAAACUCCAACUUCUGUCAUAGAGUCAAGUUGUGUCUCAGUGUGACAUAGUUGACAUAUAGGACUUGUUGAGUGGAUUUUUUCAUUUUGGUAGACUUGUGAAGUGAAAAGUUCUCAUGAAACUAAUUUCACUUUGGUAUACUUUUGCAGGUCGAGUAGCAGAAUUCGAUACUCCAACACGGUUGUUAGAGGAUAAAUCAUCCAUGUUCCUAAAGCUGGUAACAGAGUACUCAUCAAGGUCAAGUGGCAUACCAGACUUUUGAAUUAGAUGGCAUGCCCAAAAAUCCUUCAGGUCAGAGGCAGCAAGAGCAGGCUGAUAGCCACAAAGUAAUGUGGCGGCUGCUGCAUUCGGGAAACAGCGAGAGAAAACACCACUGCAUCAAUCCUUGCACCAAAUCCCUAUUGGUGAACGUAAUCUUGGGUUCGGGGGAGUUCAUCACUUAGAGCAGAAUGAGAGAAUUCAUUCACGGUUGGCAUACUUUGUAACAGAAAAUAAGUUGGUGGGAUCACCACCAGUUGGUAAUAAUCACACGCGGAAGGAGAAAAAUGUGCGGGUCUAUAUAUUGUUCAAUGAUGUGCAAUAAAAAUAGUGUUUAGAUAAGGCAGGAUUUUGUUUUUUGCUUUGGAAAUCUGUAGAGCCGAACUAGUCAAUGCCAAUCCCACUUUAUUCUAGUGGCAUAAUUCAGUUUUAGACUAUAAAUUUUGGAUGCCUACUAUAUCUCUUCAUUUCCUUUCUUCAUAUUUG